GUUUGAACUGCCUCUAUAAUUCAGGCUACAGGAGUGCCACUUGUCAGGUUUGCUGCAUGUACACAGAAGAGCUGUAGAGCUGCACAAGAUUUGCAAUGCUUCAGUCUCACAUGUAUAAGUUGAAACUCGGACUGGAGUUAUUUGUUGCUGUCAAACCUGUGCCUCUGUUCAUUUCCGGCAUUAUUUUGGUUGAGCUGCCUCAGCUUUAUCUG